rnacentral:lncRNA from 1 species
UCCAAGCCUCCAGAUAAGGGUCACUGGUGAGCCUUCCAAUUCCGGAUUGUAGUUCAUUCCAAAUAUUGUCAAGUUGACAACCAGGAAUAGCCACUACACUUACUUCGAUGCUUUAAGAGAGUGGAGGAGAUGAUCUUAAGUUUUAUUAUCUGUUAUCAGGUUCCGUUUACAAUCCAGGUGCUCAUAGCUGAUGACCUUCCACCGGCCAAGCCCAUUUCUUUAAGGCUCCAUGAUCUCCUAAGACAGCACCACCUCUGGGUAUCAAGUCUUCAAAGGCAUGGCCUGUUCGGGUUGGGGGUUGGGAGACCUUUCACAUUCCAUCCAUAAAAGAUGGUAUCAUCACCAUGCUGUCUGUUCUAUGGAUGCUUAUGCAAGACCUGCCUUCUUCCUUUAAUGGGGUAUCGUGGCUUAUGUACAGACCUGGAUGAACAAGAUUAGUCUGAACCUUGUGAAAUCAUAAUACAGGCAGACUCCCUUUUUAUUCAAUUAUAUUAUCUCUUUGAGAAUUUCAUACCUGAGUAUUUCAUUUACAUAAUUUCCAUCCUUCCUUCUCUCCACGUUUUAUCAAUUUUCUAACCUCUUAUUUAAUUAUGAUGUAAUUAUUAUAGUUUUACACACACACACACACACACACACACACACACUGCAAGCAGACAACAGCACACUGGGAAAGGCGGAAGAGUUGAAUUCUCAGGCUCAAUCACAGUGAUAUACCUCCUAAUGCUUCUCAAAUGGUUCCAAUAACUGAGGACCAGGUAUUCAAAUGCUGGAGACUUAUCGGGAGCAUUGCAAUUAAGCUACUGCUAAAACACACUCACGCAUGCACGCGCACACACACACACACACACACACACACACACAGAGAGAGAGAGAGAGAGAGAGAGAGAGAGAGAGAGUGUUUGAAGAACUGGUUUUGAAGAACCAGCUGAGACUUGGAGAGACUUAGGUGCUAAAGAACUAUGUGUUGCCUCCAGCUAACAGUCAGACAAACACAGAUUUGUAGUUUCAAAAGUCUGUGCAAAAGUGAAUUUCACCAACAUCUCUAUAGAUUUGGGAAAUGGACUUCUCCCAAGGUUAGCCUUGGAAUGAGAUCUCAGCCCUGUACAUCAGCCUCAUUGAAACCUUGAAACUCAGUUCAAAAGUUCAAGUCAUCUGCUAUUGGUGUCCUCCCUUAUAAGGACUACGUGAUAAUGAAGCCUGUUAUUUUCAUCUAAUGGAAACUUUAUAAAAUGAAAUGUGGAACCAGACUAACAAAUGAGAGAAACUCUGGAGGAAACCAAGUUGAACAGAGGUAUCUAAUCUGCUCCCGAUGCUAUUCUCUAAGGCCUACACACAUAGAUAGACACACACACACACACACACACACACACACACACACACACCACUUCUCCAAGCGUGUUUCCCUUCCACUCCCCCACAUAAGACAGUCCCUCCUAGAGUGGCCUCUUCAGGCAGCCCUUAGAGAUAGUUCUGAUUCAGCUGCUGCUCCUGUCAGUCACAGAAUCGGGAUGUGGGCUGUGGGGGUAUGGGGGUGUGGGAUGCUCUUCCUCAUACUUUUACCUGUAGUCAUCAGAGGAGGACAGAAGACUUGUCGUGAAAGAGAAUUGAAAAUUUGAUGGUUGUCGUGUGUGUGUGUGUGUGUGUGUGUGUGUGUGUGUGUGCAGAUGCUGAUUGCCACGGCAAUAUUUCCAAGCAGUUCACUUUGUUAUCUAAAAGUUUUCCUCCCUUGCUCUCAGAAGCAGUGGCUCCAUUUUAAGAAGAGGGAUUUAGAAACUCACGGACUGUUCUUUAGACUGUUAUUAAAACUUUAAAAACAUUUACAAUGUAUUUUUGCUGCCAUUGCUGAUCUGGAAUCCGGAACUGCUGGAGUUGAUUUUCAAGACUCUGUCCCAACGAUGUUCUUACUUAAGCCCCUUUGUGACUUGUGACAAAGCUCUGAGUUCCCAGAGGAGUCAUUCCUCGUCCAUCUGAUGACUGCCCGUGUGCUGGAGGCAGGGCAGGUGCAAAUGCACUUUUGGAGUAAAUAAUACCAUGUGAUGUAUGCACAGGGAUAAUACAGAAUUUGAAUACCUGGUCCUCAGUUAUUGGAACCAUUUGAGAAGCAUUAGGAAGUACGUCACUGUGAUUGAGCCCGAGAAUUCAACUCUUCCUCCUUUCCCAGUGUACUGUUGUCUUCAGUUGUGUGUGUGUAUAACAAUAAUUAUUAAGUUAUAAAUAGGAGGUUACAAAAUUCCCUUCCUCUUCCAUUCACAUAUGUUUAACGCAAUCUGAACUCUUACUUGGCUCCUCCUCACUUAGAGAUUUGACUGCUUUGAUGGUAACCUUAAUCAUUCCCAUCAACUGCACUUCAAACAUCUUAGGCUUACACAGCAGCUGGUACUUAGCUCAUUAGCUUCGUGUGUGGCGAGAUAGAAGACUUCCCUUUGCUGGUACCCUGCCUCUGGCUGCUGGGCACUUCAUCUUAGGACACAGCUGUGUUUCUCAGCUUCUGGCCCAGUUUCUGUUUCCCAGAGGAGCCAGAUCUUGGCGUCUUGUGUAUGUCUCCAGACCUGGAAGAGCCUGCCAUGUCUAAUUAACUCCCUUGGUUCUGCUUCCUUUCAGGCUUCCUCCAGCCCCAGCCUUCUCCAGCUGUCCCUGUGCCUCCAGUGCCCCGCUGCCCUCAUCCUCAGCCAGCCAUUCUUUCCCCUAUAACUGGUCUUAGGCAUAUGUCUGCAGUGAUGGACGGGUCAAAAUAGCUUUACCUAAAUCUCUAUGCAUAGGAGCUGAAAGAUGGGAUAUUAGCAUCAGAAAAUGUAGAUAUAAGUCUGAUUGCGUGUAAACUAUAGCCACAGGCAAGUUACUGAACCUCUUUCAAUUGAGUGCAAAACAAAUACUAUUAAUUUUGUCCUUGGACAGUUUUUUUUUUUCCCCUUAGCGCCAACGUGUCAUUUCUCAUACGAAACUGACAGAAACAUUCCUUUCAUGUCACAUUCUCAUUGUUACACAACCGAAUGUGAUUUAGCUAUGGUGUGUGAUGACCGUCCUUCCUAGUUCAUCGAGUAUCUGUUAUUUGUUAUAAAUGGUGCUUGGCUCUUGCCCGGCCAUUCAUACCGUUGUGCAGACACUAACCUGCCCUCUCUCUUUAUUCUGGGACCACAGUUAGCUACACUGAAUGUUUUUAAAAAUGGAACCCUGAAUCCCUGCAGUAGACCCUUUGAGUCAUUACAAAUUGACAUUUAAAUGUUUUAGUAUGUUUUUUUUCUGAUAUCUUAUUAAGCAACUUCCUUAUUGUUUGGAAUUAAAUUCCCCUAGUUAUUUUGAUUGUGGUUUUUUUUCUUUUCUUUUUCUUUUUGCAUAUGGAGCUUGGUAUUAGAGUAACAUAUCUUUUUUUUAAAAAAAGCAAGAGAUUCCCCUCCUUAUCAUUUUCUGUUUCUUUGUAUAAGAUUAAGAUUCUUCCUAGAAUUUUCAUGAAACCCAUCAACUAGAACUUCUAUUUCCUCUGCUAAAAUGUUGAGUGAAAAUUUAAUUUCACUCUUAUGUAAAGCUAAUUAGAUUUUCUGCUUUGUGUUCUUUCGCAGACUUUACUUUGCAAAGAAUAACUUUGUGAUCAAAGUUGCAAAAACACAGUGACAGAGUAUGAAAACUGUUCCCUGUAGCAUCUACCAUGAUCUUCAGUAAUAGGCGUCUUAGUUGUGAUUUCCAUUGCUGUGGCAAAACAACACUUGAAGGGGAGAGGAUUUAUUUUGGCUUGCAGUUUUUAGACCUUCAUGGGAGGAAGUCUGGGCAGGAACUGAAGACAGGAAUCUAGAGGUGGGAGUGGAUGUAGGUGCCAUGGAAGAGCUAGUUCUGUUUCCUGAUUUGCUCCUCAUGACUUGCUUGCCCAGUUUUCUUCUUCAACUCAGGCCCUGGGGUGAUGCCACAUACAGUAAGCUGGGAUUUCCUGUAUCAAUAGUCAGUCAAGAAAAUCCCCUGCAGACUUGCCUACAAGCCAAUCUAAUGGGGCAUUUUCUCAAGUGAAAUUAUCUCUUCCCAUAUGAUCCUAGCUUGUGACAAGUGGCCACAAAAUCUCCUCCUCCCUCUUCCUCAAUGCCAGUAAAUAUUAGAGUUCUGUAUUAAUAAUAUAAUGGAUAUGCAAAAAUGAAUUACUUUGUUUACUUUUAUAAAGUUUUUUUUAAUUACUUUUCUUCAUUUCCUAGUUCUUUAUGUUAGAAACAAGUUAAAACUUGUUUCAUUUUUUUUCUAAUACAGACACUUGAAUAUAUAAAUAUACCUGAAGAACUAUUUGAACUGUGCCCACAAAAAUUUGUGUUGUGUUCACGCUGUCAUUGGGUUGACAACAUUCUCUAGCAUCUUCUGUGAUUUCUUCUUUGAUCUAUAAACUUUUAAUAGUAUAUUGAAUUCAAAACUGGCUGUUUUUCUAUAUAUCUUUCUCAUUAAUUCUAAACUUAUUAAUUUUAAAGUUCAGUUUCUUUACUAGAGGAGAAUAUAUUUCCUAUGAUUUAUACGAUUUUUUUUAAAUUAAGAUAUAUUGUUUUGUGGACCAGUAUGUUACUUACUGCAGUGCAUAUUCCGUGGUCACUGAGAGAAUGGUGUGUACUGUUGUUAUUAGAUGUAGUCAAGGUGAUUGAUAAUUUUUUCAUUUUUCUAAUAUCCUUAUUGAUUUCUCUAGUUGUUUCUACCAGUUACCCAUAGAGAGAUAUUAACAUGUACAAGUUAAAUGUUGUUGUAAUUUACUUCCUUUUUAAAAAAUAUUAUUUUUCAUGUGCAUUCGUGUACCUGCUUGUCUCACAUGCACCUCAUGCAUGCAGGUGCCACAGGAACCAUGAGAGGAUGCCAAAUCCCCUGGACAUGGAAGUGCAGGUGCAUGUGAACUGCCAGAAGUUGGUAGUUGGUGCUAAAAAUUGAACUCAGGUCCUCUGCACAGGUAGCAAGUACCCCCCUCUCUAUCUAUCUGUCUGUCUGUCUGUCUGUCUGUCUGUCUGUCUGUCUAUCUAUCUAUCUAUCUACCUACCUACCUAUCUAGCUAUGAUAUCUAUGAUAUCUAUCUAUGAUAUCUAUCUAUGGUAGAUAGAUAGAUAGAUAUAGACAUAAAACAAGCUAUUACUGCUUGAAUUAAUUUUUCUUUUAUUUUUCACUUAGCAAACAAACAAAAUCUCAACAGUAUAAAGCUUUGAAGGUGCUCCUGAACACAAAGCAAUGCCACGGAGGUGGAAUUGCUAAUCUCUCUAAUGUCAACAGUACACGCUGUGCACCUCUAUCAAAUUAUCACACUGCACUCUGUUACUAUCUGCCAUUCAAAGGUGUGAAUUUAAAACUUGGAUUUUGAAGGCUGUAAUAUUGCACAUACUCUUGUGUGCAUGUGUCGAGCUUCAUAAUUGGCAAGUGAUGCACGUAGAUUAGAUUAGUAGUAGUGGAGCCAAUCUGGAUUUUGUAAAGCAUGCUUAGCAGGGCUUAUGCUUCGAAGUACACAGGAAAGCUACUGUAUCCCACAGGCUAGCCGUGGUAAUAACUCUGAUACCUACUGGCUUGAGCUCCAAAAUAGCAUGUGCACACUGGCUCAGAAAAAUCCCAUGGUGGCCCUGCAAUCGUUGCACAUAGCCCUUUAACAGCUUCCUGCCGUGUAAAAUAUCGCGCAAAGCAUGCCAUGUUUUCUACGUGAGGAGAUUCUUCCAGUUAUCAGUUUUCUCCCUUUCCACAGUCAUUAAUAGAUAUGGGAAAUAUACGAAAGAGUAGAAGAAACUGCCUUAAUCAAUUGGGCAAAGCUGGCUGGGUGAAGUGAAAUAACAGGUGUGGAGAAAAAGUCUCCCAGCGAGCCAUGAAGAAGUACAGGACAAGUCUUCCACCAAUCACCCAUCUUUCUGACGUGACCUAGGCAGUAAAAUAGUUAAGGAAACAAGUAACUUCCCACUUUAGUGGGAAUUUUUAGGAAAGCAUUCUUUGUCCUGGCAUACAUUUUAAAUAUCACCACCAAUUAUGAAGUGAUUCCAUGUUUCUACUUUAGAAACUUUGUAUGUAGGACAUGUUUAUUUUCUAGAAUACUAGUGCCCGGCAAUCAGAGGCAGAGUAUCUCCGUCCAUUUGCUAGACUAGCCCUUAGGUGAAUGGAUGUGUUCCUCUGUAUUGGAAUAAUCUGGUUUCUUUGUCCCUUGGUGAUAAGUCUAAACAAAACAAACAAUAAAAAAAAUCUUAAUACCUCAAGAUACAUUGAUAUUAAAGAGAUGUUAUUUGGCUAAUUAGAACAGUGAUCAUAACACUCUGGAGUGGUUUUGAUCUACCCCUAAACGUCUACAAUUUUAGAGAAGUUUUCACUCCACUCCUUGGGGUUGUUUUCCUCUGUGAGUUUGGAUUCUAAACCACACUCUGUUGGAAAGGACAAGAUGUCUAUUACUUCCAGCAGAGCCAGCUAGGUAGGACACCUUAGAUAGCUUUCUCUGGGCCAGUGUCCACUCAUACUGGCAGAUGUGGGCUGGACAUCUUCAGGAUGAUUGGUGCCAUUGUAGAAAUCAGUAAUAAAUAGUCCAAGUGUCUGCCACUGUGCAGGGUGCUCCCUAGCAAUCAAGGGCAGAGUGAGUUUGGUUGUUAGUUGAUGGGGAAGAAUGGUUUUAGGGAUUGCAAUAUGGCAUUACAUGUGCCAGGGAAGUACUCUAUAUAGCCCUAGCUUUAUCAUCAUCAUGACUAAGAUUUCCACCUCCACCACCACCAGCAUGACCACCACCAUCACCACCACCACUACCAGCAGCAGCACUACUACCACCACCACCACCAUCACCACCACCACCACCACCACCACCAUCACCACCACUACCACCACCACCACCAUCAUCAUCAUCAUAUUUCUGAGACAGGAUCUCAGCAAAUUGCCAAACUGAUCUUGAACUUGCUCUGUAGCUCAGGUAGGCCUUGAGUUUUCUCUCUUCGUGCUCAGACUGACUCCUAGGGUAGAAUAGUAGAUUAUGGUCCUGAGACACCAGGCCUUGCAGUUUCUAUUGUUUUCAAUGGAAAUUUUGAUAGUUGAAUUAUUAAUGAUAUUUUUAUGCAUGCUAUAUGAGUUUUCAUAUACCCAGUAAUAGUUAUUUCCUGGUUGUAAAUUGAUAUUUUCCCACAUGCAUUUCUGAAAUAAAGUGAAUCUGUGUGUGUUUUACUGUGGUUGUAAUUUCCCCAGCUUUUGUAUUAUUAUAGUCUAAGCUAUUUAUAAUUUGAAUAAGUAUUUUUUUCUUACAAAAAAGAAUGAAAGUUAUUAUUUAAACAAUCUCUGG